rnacentral:rRNA from 1 species
UACGGGGGGUGCGAGCGUUGUCCGGAAUCACUGGGCGUAAAGGGCGCGUAGGCGGCCGUGUAAGUCACUUGUGAAAUCCCGGGGCUCAACUCCGGGGCUGCAGGUGAGACUGCGUGGCUAGAGCACGGUAGAGGCGAGUGGAAUUCCCGGUGUAGCGGUGGAAUGCGUAGAUAUCGGGAAGAACACCGGUGGCGAAGGCGGCUCGCUGGGCCGUUGCUGACGCUGAGGCGCGAAAGCGUGGGGAGCAAACAGG